CACGUAGGGUGCGAGCGUUGUCCGGAAUUAUUGGGCGUAAAGAGCUCGUAGGCGGUGUGUCGCGUCGGCCGUGAAAACCUGCAGCUUAACUGUGGGCUUGCGGUCGAUACGGGCAUCACUGGAGUUCGGCAGGGGAGACUGGAAUUCCUGGUGUAGCGGUGAAAUGCGCAGAUAUCAGGAGGAACACCUGCGGCGAAGGCGGGUUGCUGGGCUGAUACUGACGCUGAGGAGCGAAAGCGUGGGGAGCGAACAGG
rnacentral:rRNA from 1 species